rnacentral:lncRNA from 1 species
CUCUCUCAAACAAAUAGAAUAUGCUGUUGGGGGACUGGUUUCCUAACCUUGCCAGAAGACCCUGAGAUUCUGACCCUUGGAUGACCCUAACGAGGCCACUGGGAAUCCAGCUCUCCUGAGAGAGGAACCUGGUCAGUAGCCAAACAACCCUGCCGGGUUCUUUUUCCUCGUGGAACAGCAACUGGCUGUGUGAUAUGGACAAGUGCAUAUACUUGGUGAAUGGGGGUUAAACAACCUCAGUGCCUGCUUUUCCUGCCUGGAACAGCUGUUGAGAAAAUAGCUACUAUUGAAUGAUAACUGUGACCAUCUUCCAAAAAGUAGGAAGAGAAACUAAAGCAGAGUGCUGCUGCCCCUAAUGUGGAGCUAUUGGUCCCUGAAGCUUGGCUUCUUCAGCUGUGGUCAGGGCAUUGGACAGGGGUGAAGCCCUUCCACCAACAGAAAAGUAAAUACUAGCCUGGGGCAGUGGCUCAUGCCUGUAAUCCCAACACUUUGGGAGACCGAGGAAAAAAAAUAUAUAUAUAUAUAUAUAUAUAUAUAUAUAUAUAUGUGGGGGGGUGUAUACACACUAUUAGGUAUUAUAGGGCAAGGGGAGCUGUGAAACACCCAACCUAU